GCGCUUAUAUUUUUUACUUUAUUUUUUCUUUCCUUCUCUUCUGUUAAUAUUACCUUAUCUUCUAUAUGGAUAUAUGGUUCAGCAGUUUCAGAUGGGUUACUUCGAUUGCAAAAGAGUAACCUUGAGGGAAAGACUCUUUGCCCGAGUCGAGAUUGUGAACUUGAGAUAUGAGAGGUUGAGUAGUAUGGGCCACCGAGAAAC
rnacentral:lncRNA from 1 species